AGGCCACGGGGUGGACCCCGCCCCCUCCCCCGCAGUUGAAAGAGCCUAGCUGAGAGCGCAUGAAGGGGAAGGUUGUGGUUGUUGUUAUAGUUAAUACGGGGGAAGUGGUUGCUUGUUUUGCAUCUAGAAGGGUACUGUUUCUGUUUGUUAAAUUUGAGGGAGUGGGAUUUUUAUGUUUGCCUCUUUUCUGAGAGAGGCUUAAAAUAGGUGGUGUGUUAAGGGGCUUGGAAAGACAUGUGAUUGUGUUUUGGCAAGCCCAGUUUGCAGGAGUUGUAGUUCCUAUAUCUUCAAAGCUGUGUGGACCGUGUGUUUGCCUGCUGUUGCCAGGGCAUGGACAGAGGAAAGAUCUUGGAGCAUCCAAAGAGGAACGGGAACUUGCAGUGGAUCUGCUUGGAGGACAGUGACUGUUUCUGUAUGGCUGCAUGAGCUUCAGGCCCGACACCAAGCAGAAGUUCUGAAGUGUGAGGCCCAAAAGAGGCUUUCCAAGCUGGUGACCUGGAUGAAGAGAUGUGGGAAGUCUGAAGCCUACAGGAAGUUUGAAGCCUCUGUGAGCAGAUAUACCAAAGACCUGUCAGCUGUUGCUCGACUAAGGCAAUGGAAGAUGGAGAGCCAGCCCAGGUGCCUUUAACAGCGGACCAGAGUCCCAUGGCACUGCUCUUCUCCCCAGCAGUGGGCCAGCCACCUGUUUUCCCCAAACCUUGGGACUUGCCUCAUCUCUUCACAGCCUGACAACAGCCCUUCUGCUAUCAGGGCUUCUUUUGCAGGCUUGGACAAAGACUCAAGGUACAGUCACCGUUCCCAUAACUAUCACUGCCCAGUUGAGAGAAGCAGCAGGUGACGCAUCUUCAGCCUGAUGCCCUAUUGUCACAUACCAGAAGCAAGAGAACACGUGCUUGCUCCAGCACGUGUCCAACAACCCACAAGAGUGCAAUAGAGACCCUCGCUUAAACCGUGGGGGAACUUGGGAGGGAGGUAGCACGCACUGGCAGCAGCUGACUUAGAAUCUGGGAAGUUCUCCAACUUUCCCUUCAGUCUGCCCUGUGUUUUGAGGUGGCUUGUUCCAGUACCAUCACAAAGGCUGUGACCCCUUCUUAUUCACACUGCUUGGUUUCUCUGGAACUUUUUGCAACUGAACCAAAGCAGUUCUUGUUUGGAUUGCAAAGGUGUCAGUUAGGUGGGGUUUUCCCCUUCCUGUGCAAGAUGCAAAAUCCUCCCUUCCAGAACUGUCUCUUCUAUACCAUCAUGGAACGCUGGUGCUGCCUGUCACUGUCGUGUUUCCUUUUGACCUUGGCUUACGGUCUGUGCUGACAUAGCUGCUAGUGGGGUGUUUUGGUUUUUAGCUUUUUUAAAUGUGGACAGGGGGAGGGGAACUGUUGUAAGGAACCUGACGCAUGCAUAGAGAGAUGUUGGCUAUAAUAGAAGCAUCUGGUUAGAUCAGUUCCUGCUACUAACUUUUCCAUGCCAAAGGGCUGAUGAUCUG